rnacentral:rRNA from 1 species
GAGCGCCCCGCAAGGGGAGCGGCAGACGGGAGAGUAACACGUGGGAACGUACCCUUCAGUUCGGAACAACCCAGGGAAACUUGGGCUAAUACCGAAUACGUCCGUAAGGAGAAAGAUUUAUCGCUGAAGGAUCGGCCCGCGUCUGAUUAGCUAGUUGGUGAGGUAACGGCUCACCAAGGCUACGAUCAGUAGCUGGUCUGAGAGGAUGAUCAGCCUCACUGGAACUGAAACACGGUCCAGACUCCUACGGGAGGCAGCAGUGGGGAAUUUUGCGCAAUGGGGGAAACCCUGACGCAGCAACGCCGCGUGGAGGAUGAAGUCCUUCGGGACGUAAACUCCUUUCGAUCGGGACGAUAAUGACGGUACCGGAAGAAGAAGCCCCGGCUAACUUCGUGCCAGCAGCCGCGGUAAUACGAGGGGGGCGAGCGUUGUUCGGAAUUAUUGGGCGUAAAGGGUGCG